AGCGGCGUAGCUCAGCGGGAAGAGCGUCCCUGCUUUCGACAUCCACUGAAGCCAACAUCUCCAGUGUAUGGGCGGGAAGGUCACAGGUUCAAGUCCUGUCGCCGCUACCA
rnacentral:tRNA from 1 species